ensembl:misc_RNA
CUGUGCCUCCUGGUUGCCGAGUGUUCACCUGGAUCUUCUGAUCACCUUUGUGCUAUUCCAUCAGCCUGCAGAUCUGGUACCUGGAUUUUUGCCCAUGGUGAUGGAUUCUGCCACCUCAGUACUGAAGAAGACAUCAUUCCAGUGGACCACUGUGAUCUAGGAGGCGUAUCCAGCGAAUCAUCAUGAUGUGGCCUUCACCUCCACUCCUGUCCUGUUCUACCCAGAUUCAACACAGCCUUUUG